rnacentral:SRP_RNA from 16 species
AGUCCUGGUCGAACUCGUGGGGCUGGGGUUGUGCAUCGGAUGUCUUACGGGGGCUUGGGUUCCCCGACAUUUUGCACGCGUAGUGGACGGUCGAUGCCCCGGGUCCCUCAAAAGUCAAGGACCAGGGGGGAGACGGAGCAGACA